AUUUAUAAAAAAAUAUUUCUCACUUUUUUAUUUCACAUAUUAGAUAUUACUAAUAAAUUAUUUCUCGCUUUUUUAAGUUAACUCAGGUUUUACAGAGCUUCCAUUGCCAUUUUCAUGUCUUCUCGCAGAAGAAAUCAGUCCGCCAUGGCAAUCAUGCACAAUCACACCUCUUAAAACACACUUCUUCCAUCUUUCUCUCUCUUUAAAUCAUCAUCAUGAAACUUCCAUUACUACUACCUUCAACUCACACUACCUCUCUCACUCUCCUCCCUCACUUCAUCAUCUCAACCUCAAAUUCUCCUCAUAAUUCUCGCGUCUUUCUCAAACCUCGCAACUUUUCUCCUCUUUCUUCCUUCACUCGUCGCAAAUCAUCAACACUUGUCUCUCUUAAUUCUUCAAAUGAAUUAAACGAUUCCAAUUCUAUUACUGAGGAAAUUCAGACACAACGAUAUGAUUCGGAUAAUCGAGCCGAAUUCGUCGAAAUUAAAAACCCUAAUUUUCCGCCUUUCAUCUCAUCGUGGCGUUCUAAGUUCAGUUUUAGUGACCAAGCUUUCUUUCUCUUAACAUUCAUCGCUUGCACGACUUCUGUGGCAUUUGUCGGCUUUGUUGCUGCUGCUGUUCCUACCUUGUAUGCUAUGGGAAGAGCUGCUAAUUCUUUUGCGAAGCUAGCAGACACUGCUCGGGAGGAGCUCCCUAGUACAAUGACAGCUAUUAGACUUUCAGGCAUAGAAGUUAGUGAUCUUACCGUGGAAUUGAGUGAUUUGAGCCAAGAGAUUUCAGAGGGAGUUAAUAAAUCUGCACAAGCAGUUCAAGCAGCCAAACUUGGAAUGCAACAGAUUGGAUCUAUUGCUCGUGAACAGACUAUCUCAAUGAUUCAGGAGAGAGCGAGCCUUCCUGUCAUCUCUAUGCAACCAGUUGUCUCUGGUGCUGCAAGAAAGACCUCUCGUGCUGUUGGCCAUGCUACAAGGACCUUGAUGAAUUUUAUCUCUGGACGAGAGUCUAUCGCUGAAGAAACCGAAUGAUCCAGUUUACAAGUUCACAAAUUAUGGAGCCCGAGGAGCUUUUUUUUUCUUCUAAGAAACCUUUACUCCUUAUAAAUGCUGUGUAGUGCAAUCAACUACAUAUCUGGAAGACUAUAAUGAGAUGAUAAACAAUCCUUUUGAGCCGAAGAAUUAUACGAGGAAAACCAAAAUGCAGCUACUUGCUUGAUAAUGUUUUAUAAAACAUUCAUCUGCUGUUGUAACAAGGCUAGUUGAGAAGAAUUCAGUUUGAAAAGUUGUAUCCAAAGAAGUUGUGACCUUCAUCAAUGAAAACCACGGUGUUCCGGUGCUAACAUAGCCCGAAAUGGCUGGGACUUCAUGUUUCCUGUUUCAGAGAUGCUCUCGUUGAAAUACCCCAACCAUUUAUGGUGCUACAUAGGUAGAACCUAAGUCACCUAUUAAACAACUUGUUCAGUACCCCAAGUUGGGAUGAAAAGGGAAGGGAAGAGAGGAGAAGGAUGGGACAGUAUUAGCAUGUUAUUGGUUUGGAAUAGCAAGAGGUCAGGAAUAUUUUCUACCAAUUCUUUCAAUAAGAUUAAUUGUUAAAGAAGGUAUAUUUGACAGUGAUAUAGCAAAGUAUUAUUUACUUGUAACCUGGAAAGAGUUUCAGAAUUACAAAAAAAAGAAAAAGAAAAAGAAAAACGUUUCCUUUUCUUCUUGUCCUCCUUCUUUCCAUCCCUCCUAUAAUUACCUAUAUAAUACAAUAAUUACUUUUUUAUUAUAUUUUACAUGAAAUUGGAUUGUUUACCAUGGAGAAUCUUAACUCUUCCUAGAUAGGUAUCAGAUGAUUUCCCGUAACCCUGAAUCUCAAAGGAAGGUCAAGAGUUUAUCCUAGAUGAUAACUUGACAUGGAUAUUCUAUACUAUCUGCAAUUCGACUUGCUGAUUGUCCUUGAUUACAUUAUCUACUGACUGCAACUUCAAAUCUUGACUCGUAUCGUCAUGAUUCGAUUCUUUGCUUGUUUCGUCAUGAUUCGAAUCCUGCCCAAUCUUGCUGUUGCACCACUUGUAGAAGAUGUAGAGAGUCAUCUGAACUAUUCCAAGUAAAAAUCCCAGAAUAUUUGGUCCCUGUUUGUCAUAAAUCAUAGGAUUAGCUUCUAAUAGAGUGUUUGAUCACGAGGAAAUUAUUCCUGAAAAACAAAAGUUUUAGCUUCUUUGUUUGGUUGGAAAACAGUUUUUCCAGAAGGGGAAAAUAAUUCUUUCAAAGAUAGACAACAUUUUCCUUUCAAAUUGAAGGUAUGUCAAAUUUUCCUCCUUAUUCCUUACCUUCCUCUUUCACUUGUCUUGUUCAUCCUCAUCCCUCCAUUUUAAUUUUCUUUUUCUUCCUAACUAUUCUUGUAAGGAACCAAACAGAGAUAUAUGAUUUUUGUCUAACCAAGAAGAGCAUAAAUAUCAUAAAGAAAAGUUGGUUGGUUUUGGUUACUUACUGCGAUAAAAUAGUCUUUGAGGAAAAAUCCGUAGAAAAACCACAUACAGGCAUUGAGGGUGAGGGCUAAGGAGAGAGAUAUCGGCAUGAACUCCACGCUUCUUGUUUUGAUCACUUGCCUCUGACAUAAGAAUUCAUACAUGUAUUGGUUUCUUUCACACAGUUGUUGCUAAGAUGCCUAGGCAUAUGAAGGUAUGGAUAUGUUUUUCUACAUACCAUGAUGCUCAUUGGAGCUGCAAAUACACACAGGUUGAUAACAGCAUUUAUCCAACCUACAACAGUAAUUCUUUUGGAACCUUUACAUAACAAGGUUGUGAGCAGCAUGACUAAGCUGCAUGCUCCCAGGUUAAAUAGAAGUAUUAACUUCAAUGUGAAAUACUGCAAAUGGUCAGAAAUAAGGACUGUUAAAUAAGUUCUGAAACCGCUGAACUUCCGUUCAAGUUCAAUAUCACUUGUGUUUUUGUUUCUAAAACAGAGAUAUGUAUGUUUUGAGUUUUAUCAUCUGUUGUUUAUGUAUCAAUAUGGCUUAUUAUAUGAAACAGAAGAUAUACCUUGCUCUCUUUUGGUGCAUAUACUAGAAAUAUCACCAGGUAUAUGACUUCUAUGAAGCAUCCAAAACUAUUAAUAGUGAUGAGCAGAAUUCCUCCCGGCUUGAGGGAUCCAUAAUAUAACAGCAUCAUCGCACUGAACAGCCCGACAGCAUAAGGUAAUGACUUGUACCCUUCAGAUGAUUUCCUCUUAUAAAUUCUGUAGAAUGUAGGCCUGGAAAAAGGACAUAAAGGGAGCUAUUAAGUUAUCUUAUUAUAGGAUUGCUUAAAUUAUUCAACGAUUGUACAUUCAUAAAGUUAUCUUACACUGGCGAAAGGAAUACCCCAACUGAAACAAUAUUUCCUGAGAUCCAACAACAAAAAUUAUGAAUACUUACAGCUUUAUACACUAGAAUAAUUGGGAAGGGGAAGCAAUGCGGAAAAUUCUGAGCAAGUGCGAUAAGAAAAGUUACCUAAUAUUCCAAAUAUGGCUGCAAGUGUUUGAACAGUUAAGGUUGUCAUUCUAAGGGAAGUCCUUUGAGCCUGAUAUUUUUUGUUGGCUCUCAAAGAACUUGAGAAACUUGUAUGUCUCUACUUCGGUUUAUAUAUGCAUGUAACAAAUGUUAGGCCACAAUGAUGGCUCUGUACUGAUAAAUUCUCUCAAAACAAGUAAUGCAGUUCGGCGAGAAGGUAGGCAAAAUCAGGAAAUGUACCAAUCUUUUGCAUAAGGAUAUGCUCCUAGAUAGUUAGUUAGCGGGAUGUAAUUGACAGCUGAAUCCUCUAUGUCAUGAUGUGGAGGAUGUAAUGUUAGUAAUCUGUGUAAGGUUGUGGCUAAGAAUUAUUGGAAAUUUUUUCAUGUAUCUGAAGCCCUUUUAUGUUGCAAUACACAUUGAAUAUGUUAUAAUUAAUUACUUGAUUAAAAUGAUUAGUGGCAUAACUGAUGCUUCAUGUAUAAGAUAUUUGAUACUAGAUUUUUUGUUCUAGUUCAUUCUUCGUCAGGUUUGUAAAUUUUAUGACUUGAUGGUUCUAUAACCUUAAACACAUAGCAGUAAUAUUCACUUUUCUGAUAUUUUCACAAGUUACAUCAUCAUUUUGCAGAGUAAUUUUGAUUUAAUGAAUAACUUUGAUUGCGUUUCCUAUCAAAUGCAUGUAUUUUUCUUUUUCCUCUUUAAUCACAUUCUUCCAUGUUUGCAUGAACUUUUGCUAUCAUCCAGUCUUUCUGAAUCUGAACCUGAAUCUGCCCUCGGCUAUACAGAAAGCUGCAUUGAUGAUGAAUAGAUGAUGCAGGUAAGGUAGUCACUUAUAUCUGCUUUUGAGCAUUUUACAUACGGGUUCCAAAUCUGCUUUCUAUAGGGUGAUGCAAGAUAUAUAUGUAUUAUUUUGAUAUGUUCUUUGUGGUGUAAAGUACAUAUGUUAAGAUCAUGUAAAAUUCUCGUUCCAUUUGAUGGUUGUGCACCUUUUGCUUGUUAUAAGCUCGAAAACUGAAGUUCAGUAUUCCAAUAUAAAUUGAUUGAUGAUGCA